UAGGGAAUCUUCGGCAAUGGACGAAAGUCUGACCGAGCAACGCCGCGUGAGUGAAGAAGGUUUUCGGAUCGUAAAACUCUGUUGUUAGAGAAGAACAAGGACGUUAGUAACUGAACGUCCCCUGACGGUAUCUAACCAGAAAGCCACGGCUAACUACGUGCCAGCAGCCGCGGUAAUACGUAGGUGGCAAGCGUUGUCCGGAUUUAUUGGGCGUAAAGCGAGCGCAGGCGGUUUCUUAAGUCUGAUGUGAAAGCCCCCGGCUCAACCGGGGAGGGUAAUUGGAAACUGGGAGACUUGAGUGCAGAAGAGGGGGGUGGAAUUCCAUGUGUAGCGGUGAAAUGCGUAGAUAUAUGGAGGAACACCAGUGGCGAAGGCGGCUCUCUGGUCUGUAACUGACGCUGAGGCUCGAAAGCGUGGGGAGCGAACAGG
rnacentral:rRNA from 1 species